UACGUAGGGGGCGAGCGUUGUCCGGAGUACUGGGCGUAAAGCGCACGCAGGCGGUCUGCUAAGUUUGGAGUGACAGUUGGUGGCUUAACUGCCAAAGUGCUUCGAAAACUGACAGACUUGAGGGCUUCAGAGGGACACGGAAUUCCGGGUGGAGUGGUGAAAUGCGUGGAUAUCGUGAGGAACACUAGUGGCGAAGGCGGGUCUCUGGACAGUAUCUGACGCUGAGGCACGAAGGCCAGGGGAGCGAACGGG
rnacentral:rRNA from 1 species